rnacentral:rRNA from 1 species
GAUGAACGCUGGCGGCAUGCCUAACACAUGCAAGUCGAGCGAACAGACGAGGAGUUUGCUCCUCUGACGUUAGCGGCGGUCGGGUGAGUCACACGUGGCUAACCGCCCUAUAUGACUGGCAUAAGUGCGCGAAACCGGAUCUCUCACCGGACAAUAUAUUGAACGGGAUGGUUCAAUAGUCAAAGCCCGUUCUGCUGUCCCUUAUAGAUGGAUGCGCGCCGCUUUAGCUAGGUGGUAAGGUAACGGCUUACCAAGGCGACGAUGCGUAGCCGACCAGAGAGGGUGAUCAGCCACACUGGAACUGAGACACGGUCCAGACUCCUACGGGAGGCAGCAGUGGGGAAUCUUGCGCAAUGGGCGAAAGCCUGACGGAGCCACGCCGCGUGGGUGAUGAAGGUCUUCGGAUCGUAAAGCUCUGUUAGUAGGGAGGAACAGAUGUGAAGGUAACGAUGGACGUCUUGACGUUACCAAGUCAGAAAGCAACGGCUAACUUCGUG